UAUAAGACUGGGAUAACUUCGGGAAACCGGAGCUAAUACCGGAUAAUAUAUUGAACCGCAUGGUUCAAUAGUGAAAGACGGUUUUGCUGUCACUUAUAGAUGGAUCCGCGCCGCAUUAGCUAGUUGGUAAGGUAACGGCUUACCAAGGCAACGAUGCGUAGCCGACCUGAGAGGGUGAUCGGCCACACUGGAACUGAGACACGGUCCAGACUCCUACGGGAGGCAGCAGUC
rnacentral:rRNA from 1 species